rnacentral:lncRNA from 1 species
CAGCAAGUUCAACCAAACAUUAUUCCAAAACAUGAUCAUCCUAACAUGUUUCUAAAUUCCAUUCUAACACCCUAACAAAUCCAACAAUAAUCUAAAACACCAAUGAGCGCCUAGAUCAUCCUCCUCUCCUCGCCAUGAUUCCACGGAUCACAUUUUGCUUUUACUUGCAUAAAAGAAACAAAUGCAUAAGUAUUUCAUAAAUACUUAGUGAGGGCGAUCCUCUCAUCUACCAGUUAUACACACAAGCAAUGAGAUAACACCCACAUAUAUAACAUAAACAAACCAUCCAGCAAGCUAAACAUCCAAUAACACUUCCAAUUCACCUACAAAUCAUCACAAACAAGUCACUCAAUCUCAAUCGCUUAGAUAAGCUAAUGAUCACGCACUCACCAAUUCGCAACAAAGAAGAAACGUCUCACCAAACUGCAUAUAACUCACUGAGUAUUAAUCCGAAUUCACUUCUGUAAAAAGGAUAAUCAACGUACACGUCUUAAGAACAAACCUACCAAAUUUCGUUACCUUUCGAUAAGAUUUGAUACGUCGGAACUCUAUUCUACCAAGACGUGACGAAUCUGCGUCUCUUGCCUUAAACACCAAAGCAAAGCUAACCCUCUCCUUCUCACAAGUGAACUUCUCCUUCUCCUUUUCUCAACUCAACUCUCAGAAACAACAGCGACAAAACAAAAGAGAGAAUGAAGCGUUCUUUAUAAAACUAGGGUUUUUGGUUUAAUUUUGAUUAAACCAGGAUUUACCUAAACCGACAUUAAUUAAACCGACAUUAAUUAAACCUCCUUUGAUUCAAUUAAACAAAUCGACCAGUUUAGAAAAUCCACCGGAAUCAAACCGACUCCAACCUAAUUAUUAUACACACUCAAGUCUCAUAUUAUUUUCCAGAACACUGGCGUUACAAUUCUCCCCCACUAACAUGGAUUCGUCCUCGAAUCCUUCAACAUCGUCCAUCAGUCUAGGACUCCGUGCAACCGUCCCAAACGAUUCGCACUCCCACAACUGACUCCUCUGAGGCUCCUAUCUAAUCCAUAUACUCACGUUCCAGACCCUACUUGCUCAUACUCACCCACUUCCCCCGUCCACAGGUCGCAACCCAUGAUUCAUAUCGACUCGUCCUCAGGCCUCUGCCUUAGACUACGGUAUCCAGGAAGUCUCACCACUCCCCCCGCUCUCAGGUCGCAACCUUCAAGUCAUACCGGCUAACAAUUAGGCCUCCAGCCUUCAAGCUACGGUAUCCGGGAAGUCUCACCACUCCCCCCGCUCUCAGGUCGCAACCUUUAAGUCAUACCGGCUCACUAUUAGGCCUCCAGCCUUCAAGCUACGGUAUCCGGGAAGUAUCACACUCACUCUCGAAUCGUCAUCCGAGGCUAUCACAUAACAUCCGAGCAAAUAAGUCUAAACGCCACCGAGCAUAUCUCUAGAUCAGAUAUACCUCCCGUGGUUCCCCUAUAGCAUUGCAAUGCUAUACUAACCACAAUCCCGAAAAGAAGAGUUGUAAACUAUAGGACUGAUUGUUCAAGGACAAAAAGAAUGGAAAAUAAUUUAUGUACUUUCAACAAUAGAACCGUCAAACCCGACGCUUUCUAUUUUUAGAAACUCACACAUAUUUCUCUUUCUCAUGACACUAACAAGUCAAAUCCAAGUACAACAUCACAAUGUCAUACCUACCAAACAAAAUUCCCACUCGGAAUAUCAUCUCUACCAUGACCAUUCUUCAAGUCAACUCCCAAACCAUCCCGUCACUCAUGGUAUUACAUAAUAGUCUCCAACUUAACUUCUCGGAAAUCUAUUUCCAACAAAACACCACCGAAGACCCGCGCUCCGGACUACAACCACCACGACCACACAACUACUUCGAGUACCACACUCGCAACCUCUAGCCUCCCACGCUGCCACGAGCAGAAACUAGGAAAACAGACGACUAGAGAAAAGACAAAACAUCACAACUUACCGUGGAAUCUCAUUGAAGGCUCGAGAGGAUGAUCUAGGUCUCUAUGCUCACACAAUUGAUUAAACACACAAAUCAAUCAACAUGCAAUCCACAUCAUCAUUUUCCAUCAACGAAAUUCACACAUCACAUUAAAAAUAACCAAUUUACUCCCGCCCUAGAACGUAAGGGCUCUGAUACCAAAUUGAAAGAACACAUCCUUUUUUUUUUCUUUUAAACAUGCAAACCGGAUUACCCCAAUUAAUUCAAACCAGCUAAACCGGCCAUAAUAAUUUAAAUCAAUUAAACCAAGCAAUCUCAUUAAAGUAAACCAACAAUAUUAACCAGCGGAAGACUUAACCAAAAAUCCAAUAAAACAAUUCCAUUAAACCAGCAAGUUCAACCAAACAUUAUUCCAAAACAUGAUCAUCCUAACAUGUUUCUAAAUUCCAUUCUAACACCCUAACAAAUCCAACAAUAAUCUAAGACACCAAUGAGCGCCUAGAUCAUCCUCCUCUCCUCGCCUUGAUUCCACGGAUCACACUUUGCUUUUACUUGCAUCAAAGAAAGAGAUGCAUAAGUAUUUCAUAAAUACUUAGUGAGGGCGAUCCUCCCAUCUACCACACAAGUAAUGAGAUAACACCCACAUAUAUAACAUAAACAAACCAUCCAGCAAGCUAAACAUCCAAUAACACUUCCAAUUCACCUACAAAUCAUCACAAACAAGUCACUCAAUCCCAAUCGCUUAGAUAAGCUCAUAGUCAUACACUCACCUUAACAAGGUGAUUUGGAUAACAAAUACAACCAGGAAAGACUCUCCUCGUAACUGC